UUGCUAGUUACCAUCAUUAAGUUGGGACUCUAGCGAGACUGCCAGUGAUAAACUGGAGGAAGGUGGGGAUGACGUCAAAUCAUCAUGCCCCUUAUGACCUGGGCUACAAACGUGAUACAAUGGCUGAAACAAAGGGCAGCGAAGCAGUGAUGUGGAGCGAAACCCAAAAAAGCAGUCUCAGUUCGGAUUGAAGUCUGCAACUCGACUUCAUGAAGUUGGAAUCGCUAGUAAUCGUAGAUCAGAACGCUACGGUGAAUACGUUCUCGGGGUUU
rnacentral:rRNA from 1 species